rnacentral:rRNA from 1 species
CCCUUAGAUGUCCUGGGCCGCACGCGCGCUACACUGACAUGUUCAACAAGCCUCCUAGUUCGACAGGAUUUGGGAAAUCUUUGAACGCAUGUCGUGAUAGGGGUAGAUCAUUGCAAUUAUUGAUCUUGAACGAGGAAUUCCUAGUAAACGCGAGUCAUCAGCUCGCAUUGAUUACGUCCCUGCCCUUUGUACACACCGCCCGUCGCACCUACCGAUUGAAUGUUUCGGUGAAGAUUCCGGAUAGGACUUUUUUGAUUUAUUUCAAUUUUGUCUUAAAAGCUAUCUAAACCUCAACAUUUAGAGGAAGGUGAAGUCGUAACA